rnacentral:rRNA from 1 species
UACGUAGGUGGCGAGCGUUGUCCGGAAUUACUGGGUGUAAAGCGCGUGUAGGCGGGAGGCCAAGUCUGCGGUGAAAUCGCUCGGCUCAACUGGGCGGGGUCCGUGGAAACUGGUCACCUGGAGGACGGUAGGGGCGAGUGGAAUUCCCGGUGUAGUGGUGAAAUGCGUAGAGAUCGGGAGGAACACCAGUGGCGAAGGCGGCUCGCUGGGCCGGACCUGACGCUGAGACGCGAAGGCGUGGGGAGCGAACGGG